rnacentral:hammerhead_ribozyme from 1 species
AUCCAGAUGACGAGUCCCAAACAGGAUUAAAUGCUCAUCCUGGAU